UACAUGUGGGGCAAGCGUUGUUCGGAAUUACUGGGCAUAAAGGGUGCGUAGGUGGCUUGUUAAGUCAGGGGUGAAAGUUUUCGGCCCAACCGGAGAAUGGCCUUUGAUACUGGCGAGCUCGAGUGCGUGAGGGGUAACCGGAACGAGCAGUGUAGCGGUGAAAUGCGUAGAUAUUGCUCGGAAGGCCAACGGCGAAGGCAGGUUACUGGUGCGCAACUGACACUGAGGCACGAAAGCGUGGGGAGCAAACAGG
rnacentral:rRNA from 1 species